AUUUAAGUAGCUCAUAGUUUAGAGUAUAGUUUUGAAGCAGCUAGGGAGAUUUCUGAAUCCUUAAAUA
rnacentral:tRNA from 1 species